rnacentral:rRNA from 1 species
GCUUGCUCUGCUGACGACCGGCGCACGGGUGCGUAACGCGUAUACAAUCUACCUAUCACUGAGGGAUAGCCCGAAGAAAUUUGGAUUAACACCUCAUAGUAUUAUAGAGCCGCAUGGUUUUAUAAUUAAAGGUUACGGUGAUAGAUGAGUAUGCGUCCUAUUAGCUAGAUGGAGAGGUAACGGCUCCCCAUGGCUACGAUAGGUAGGGGUCCUGAGAGGGAGAUCCCCCACACUGGUACUGAGACACGGACCAGACUCCUACGGGAGGCAGCAGUGAGGAAUAUUGGACAAUGGAGGAAACUCUGAUCCAGCCAUGCCGCGUGCAGGAAGACGGCCCUAUGGGUUGUAAACUGCUUUUGUACGGGAAGAAACCUACCCUCGUGAGGGUAGCUGACGGUACCGUAAGAAUAAGCACCGGCUAACUCCGUGCCAGCAGCCGCGGUAAUACGGAGGGUGCAAGCGUUAUCCGGAAUCAUUGGGUUUAAAGGGUCCGUAGGCGGGCUGAUAAGUCAGUGGUGAAAUGCAGGGGCUCAACUCCGGCACUGCCAUUGAUACUGUUAGUCUUGAAUUAUUGUGAAGUGGUUAGAAUAUGUAGUGUAGCGGUGAAAUGCUUAGAUAUUACAUAGAAUACCGAUUGCGAAGGCAGAUCACUAACAAUAUAUUGACGCUGAUGGACGAAAGCGUGGGUAGCGAACAGGAUUAGAUACCCUGGUAGUCCACGCCGUA